rnacentral:lncRNA from 1 species
AAGAAACCAUGCAAAGUCAUUCCAAACAGAGCUGCAGCCACAACUACAUCAGGAAUUAGUCAGCCAAACAAUGAUGGUAAAAUAGAAUCUCGUGUUAAUAUAACACAGUCAGGUAUUACCAGUAAUAACAAUGUUAAUAUUACUGCACCUUCUACGAGUAGUACUUGGAUUAUUGAUAGUGGAGCAUCUGAUCACAUGAUCAAAGACUGAGAUGAAUUACAAUCAUUAAAAAUAUAUUCUCAAUCCUUUAUUUCUACUGCUAAUGGAGGUACUUCUCCGGUUAUAGGAGAAAAACCAGUUGUCAUAACAGAUACUUUAAAACUUGACACAGUUUUAGUUGUACCUUCUCUUGAUCAUAAUCUUCUAUCUGUUAGCCAAAUUAUUUCUCUGUCAAUUGUACUGUAACCUUUUGGCCUCUUUUUUGUAUCUUUUAGGACAUUCUGACUCGGAGGACUCUUGGUUAUGGUGUUAAGUGAGGAAAUCUCUACUUUCUGGAAUUGACUAAAGGUGGAGAAAAGAAAUUCUGUCAUGCAUUCCACACACAUGGGGUUGAGAAG